CCAAUGUUUCAUUUCAACUGGCUUAAAUCUUCAAAGUGGUUAAGAAUUUAGUAAAUAAAACUACUUAA
ensembl:lncRNA novel transcript, antisense to USP49